rnacentral:rRNA from 1 species
AUACGGAGGGUGCAAGCGUUACUCGGAAUCACUGGGCGUAAAGCGCGCGCAGGCGGUUUGAUAAGUUGGAUGUGAAAUCCUAUGGCUCAACCAUAGAACUGCAUCCAAAACUGUCAAACUAGAGUCUGGGAGAGGAAGAUGGAAUUAGUUGUGUAGGGGUAAAAUCCGUAGAGAUAACUAGGAAUACCAAAAGCGAAGGCGAUCUUCUGGAACAGUACUGACGCUGAGGCGCGAAAGCGUGGGGAGCAAACAGGAUUAGAAACCCCAGUAGUCC